UACGUAGGGUGCAAGCGUUGUCCGGAAUUAUUGGGCGUAAGGAGCUCGUAGGCGGUCUGUCGCGUCUGCUGUGAAAACUCAGGGCUUAACCCUGAGCUUGCAGUGGGUACGGGCAGACUAGAGUGCGGUAGGGGAGACUGGAAUUCCUGGUGUAGCGGUGGAAUGCGCAGAUAUCAGGAGGAACACCGAUGGCGAAGGCAGCACUCUGGGACGGUACUGGACGCUGAGACGGCGAAAAGCGUGGGGAGCAAACAGG
rnacentral:rRNA from 1 species